rnacentral:rRNA from 1 species
UGCCAGUAGUCAUAUGCUUGUCUCAAAGACUAAGCCAUGCAUGUCUAAGUAUAAAUGUUAUACAGUGAAACUGCGAAUGGCUCAUUAAAACAGUUAUAGUUUAUUUGAUAAUCGAAUUUACAUGGAUAACCGUGGUAAUUCUAGAGCUAAUACAUGCUGGUUAGCCUGACUUCGAGGAAGGGCUGUAUUUAUUAGAUAACAAACCAAUAUUCCCCGUGUCUAUUGUGAUGACUCAUAAUAACUGAUCGAAUCGCAUGGACUUUGUCCGCGAUACAUCAUUCAAGUUUCUGCCCCAUCAGCUUUCGAUGGUAGUGUAUUGGACUACCAUGGCUUUAACGGGUAACGGAGGAUUAGGGUUCGAUUCCGGAGAGGGAGCCUGAGAAACGGCUACCACAUCUAAGGAAGGCAGCAGGCGCGUAAAUUACCCAAUCCUGACUCAGGGAGGUAGUGACAAGAAAUAACGGACCGAGGCAUCUGCUUCGGGAUUGCAAUGAGUAGAAUUUAAACCCCUUUACGAGGAUCAAUUGGAGGACAAGUCUGGU